CACGGGGGGAGCAAGCGUUGUUCGGAAUCACUGGGCGUAAAGGGAGUCUAGGCGGUCAGGUAAGUGGGAUGUGAAAAGCUCUCGGCUCACCCGAGAAUGUGCAUCUCAAACUGCCUGGCUUGAGUAUGGGAGAGGAUGAGGGAAUUCCUGGUGUAGCGGUGAAAUGCGUAGAUAUCAGGAGGAACACCGGUGGCGAAGGCGGGUCUCUGGGCAAUAACUGACGCUGAGGAGCGAAAGCGUGGGGAGCGAACAGG
rnacentral:rRNA from 1 species